CUCAAACUGUGGAACACCUAGUACCCACCCAGACUUCACAGAAUCCCAGUCCACAAAGGAAAAAGGAACUUUGACUGUUCACCUGGUCAGACUUGGGAAUUCCCAGCCCAAACUUCAGGUGGAGCCUGGCUUUUACAGACUUUUUAGGAUGCUUCGGAUGGUCUGAAGAUGGGGAGAAGAUGGCCUUUUUUCAUGUGGAGGAUAUUACGGAGAUGUUUCUUUCAUAAUAGCAUCAUCCUUCAAUCUAAAAUUUGAAUUCUACUUACAUGAACUGAUGCAGAAUAAAAUGAGCAGAAGCAGGAGAUCAUUGUACACAGCAACAACAAGAUUAUACAGUAACCAAUUCUGAUGGACGUGGCUCUUCUCAACAAUGAGGUGAUUCAGGCCAGUUCCAAUGAUCUAGUGAUGAAGAGAGCCAUCUGCACCCAGGGAGAGAACUGUGAGAACUGAGUGUGGACCACAACAUAGCAUUCUCAUUCUUUCUGACGUUUGUUCGCAGCUUAUUUUGCUUCUCUUUUUCUUAUUUUUACUGGUUUGAUUUGAUUUUUCUUGUGUAGCCCGAUAAUUGUAUAAAUAUGUAUGCAUAUAUUGGAUUUAAUGUGUAUUUCUACCAAGUUUAACAUAUAUUGGACUCCUUGACAGCUAGGAGAGGGC
rnacentral:lncRNA from 1 species